UACGUAGGGUGCAAGCGUUGUCCGGAAUUAUUGGGCGUAAAGAGCUCGUAGGCGGCUUGUCGCGUCGACUGUGAAAACCCGUGGCUCAACCAUGUGGUCUGCAGUCGAUACGGGCGGGCUAGAAUUCGGUAGGGGAGACUGGAAUUCCUGGUGUAGCGGUGAAAUGCGCAGAUAUCAAGGAGGAACACCGGUGGCGAAGGCGG
rnacentral:rRNA from 1 species